GUAUUCCUACGGGACGAAGCAGUGGGGGAUAUUGGACAAUGGGGGAAACCCUGAUCCAGCGAUGCCGCGUGAGGGAAGAAGGUUUUCGGAUUGUAAACCUCUGUGGAGGGGGACGAUAAUGACGGUACCCCUUUAGGAAGCCACGGCUAACUACGUGCCAGCAGCCGCGGUAAUACGUAGGGGGCAAGCGUUAUCCGGAUUUACUGGGUGUAAAGGGAGCGUAGACGGCAUUGCAAGUCUGAUGUGAAAGAUUGGGGCUCAACCCCAGGCCUGCAUUGGAAACUGUAAAGCUGGAGUACAGGAGG
rnacentral:rRNA from 1 species